UGGUCUGCCAGGAGUUGUGAGGCUCCCACACUUUCCUGUGAGGUACAGGAUUUUCCAGGAAGCUGAUCCUUAAGGGGUCUUGGUGAUAUCACUUCUCAUCCUAAGGGCUUGUAGGCCGGAGAGGUAACUCAGUUGGUAAAAACCCUGACUUCAAUAAAGCCUGUUCUAAAGACCAUGGUCACAGGUCCAAAUCCCUAGACCUUUAGCAGGGGGGGGGGGUUGCCCUUUGACUCUCUAAGAGAUCAAGCCUGUUGGGUUUACAAGCAGAGGGUCCUGGUUUCGGACGCUCCACCGGGUGCUGGUUGCCCUUUUCUUAGGCCUGUUAAGAUGUCUUUCCAGACUCUUUGGUCUCAAUCUAUUCAAGUGUCCAAUGUCCAGGGACAUUGGUAUGCACUGCCCAGGGUGCACUUCUCCGUAUGAGGUAACUUGACAGUUCCUCAGGGGGUUUGAACUUCGACCGGUCUCGGGUUCUGGGGGUCUAGUUUAUGACCAUGUCUCUUGUCUUAGAGUUCGGAUCUGGAUUAGUCCUGGGCGGUUCGGUUUCAAACCUUUAGGUUUGAAACAUCCGCUUGUCCCUUCUGGUAUCGACCGGUGGGAUCUGACAGCUGUAGUUUAGGGUCUAUCUCCCUGGUUUGGGAGUGGUCCCUCUUAGCAGGGAGCUGUGUAGGGGUUCUGGAACCCGAGCAAGUAGUAUUUCUGUCAUGGCUUGUGAUAGCAAGCGAGAUUUAAAUAAAGUUUUUCCCCCAUAGGGUCGUUCCCCUUUAGGCCCCUCCUUUUUCUUCGGAGGUGUGGUUCGAAGAAUUUUAUAUUCUUUGUUUUUGGACGUUGCCAAUCCCUUUGGACUGGGCCCGUUUCUCUUACAUGGUGUAUCCAGUCCACGGAUUCAUCCUUACUUGUGGGAUAUUCUCAAUCCCUACAGGAAGUGGCAAAGAGAGCACACAGCAGAGCCGUCCACACAGCCCCCCUCAGGCUCCGCCCCCCCCAGUCAUUCUCUUUGCCGCUCUAACAAGUAGCAUCUCCACGGGAGGGUAAAGAGUAUGUGGUGUUAGAUUUGUAGUUUUUAUUUCUUCAAUCAAGAGUUUGUUAUUUUAAAAUAGUGCCGGUUUGUACUGUUAUGAGCUGCUUAUUAUAUUUUCAUUAUUUUAUAUGUUUAACCAAACUUUUCCUUUUCUUUUACUGAACUCUUCUCUGAUACUGCAGAUAUAUUACUUCUGUAUUUUCCAAUAAGUGAUGUAUCUUUAACAACUUACUUUUAGCCUAAUAAGUAUGUAUCAGUACAUCUUAAAGUUAUGGCUUCUCCCAUACAAAGUUUUCUAAAUAUCUGAAACUCAAGGUAAAAUCCAAGGCUUCUCUGUACAGUAUCAGCUUCUCAAUCCAAUUAGCCAACUAGCCUCUGGUCACAUUCCAAGAAAACAUAUCUCAUAAAUUUUAACAUAGAGGACCUGUUUUUUUUUCCCUUUCCUAGUAACCACUAAUCACGUGAGAUUUAUUGGCCAAUCAUUAUCAGCCAAUUAGCUCUCUGCUUUGUAAGGAACUGUAAUAGUAUGAAAAUGCAUGUAUAUGAAAAUGUGUUAGUCUUGCGUUACUGUUUUUUGUGCUGGGACACUGUUGCAACAGUGUAAUAAAGAUUACCUCUCCUGAGGUGAGCCCUUGUUUGAUAAAUAUCUGGUCUGGACCUCUUUAUUACUGCACCUGAGACGAGCUCACUCACGACAGUAACUUGGCGACUCUGGUGGGACGUGCUUCAGGUCGACCUUUCCGUGCCUCCCUGGCUGGGAACCAAUAUCUGCGCGCACCCAUCUGAUUCAGGUCUAUAGCUUACCUGUGGGAGGUUUUGUCUUGUUGGUCAGGGAGUCCCGGGGGGGCGAUAAGGGAGUACGUCCUGAGGAACAGACCACAAACAACGGACACAAUCUACCCCUUGGACCAGUCUGUGAGUGUCUUCUUGUCUUUUGUGUUCAUGUACGUGUAAUAUAUGUUGUGGGUCUUUUUCCCUGUUUUUGUUUUAUAUACUGGAUCACUAUUAAAUUCAGUGGGACAUCUGUCUGGCAGUUAAACACCAUUAGGGUGCCAGCCCACUAUAAAAUAAAGUUUCAGGUGGUAGGGAUUUUACAGAGGCAGAAAUAGUGAUCCAAGACAUAUUGUGACUUGAGACUAUAGUGCUAAUCUCUCCCGCUAAGCAGGGACGUUGAGGUAGUGUCCGUCCGGUAACUGCAGGGACUUGAUUGACUAUAGUGCUAAUCUCUCCCGCUAAGCAGGGACGUUGAGGUAGUGUCCGUCCGGUAACUGCAGGGACUUGAUUGACUAUAGUGCUAAUCUCUCCCGCUAAGCAGCGACGUUAAGGAAAUGUCCGUCCGAAAACUGCAGGGACUUGAUUAGGGAUUAAAGUGAGGUGUGGAUUUUGAGGAGUUAAAGUGCCCCUGUUUUUGGUUGAAUUUUUGUAGACUGGGCACUUUGUCAUCAAAAUUUACAUUCACUUUAAGGAACAGGGAUAUAAUAAUGGGAUCCCGGCUGUCUAAAGUAGACAAAGACUCUCCCCUUGCUAAAGUAUAUGCAAAUUAGGGAAAACUCAGUACUGCUUGGUUAUAAAAAAAAUAGACUUUAUAUUUUGUGCACAGAGCUCUGAGUUUCCUAUACUCUCAGCCUUGAUCCUGAAUUAAGGUGGCCGAGGUUUGGGUCCUUUGAGCUCCCUAAAUUAAUUGCCCUCCGCAAUCUUCUGGUUGAUAUAUGCCCUGACCAGAUGGACUACUAUUAUCUGUUUGAGAAUAGUAGGGUUGCGGACGUCAAAACCCAAAUUAAAAUGUGUUUUCUGUAUUACUAAAAGUUUCAUGUAUGUUAACAUUGCUUUAGAAUAAAUACUGGGAGUGAAAUAUUUGAGGUAUGCGAGUUGAUAUGAAUUUUUGUGUACAAUCGCUGCAAAAGAAAGCUGGCCUUGAUGUUUGAUGCAGGCUGGAGCUGUGUGUGUGUAUCAGGGAUUCUUAGCUAAGAAAUUUGAUGACGUAAUGAUUUGCUUGUAAUUGCUGUAACUUGGUUUUAAAGUCAUAAGUAUGUUCUUAAUUUUGUGUGCCAAUAAUAGCAUUUUUUUUUAGUUUUAAGUGAUAUUUGUUUUAUGUAUGCGCUGAUAAGAGAUUUAAUGUGUUUCCAUCUGUUUGAGGCAUAUAAAAUAUAUGCAAGUGAAGUAACUAAGGAAAGUGCGAUGGUGUGUGAUUUUUGUCACGCUCUAGUAAAUAUGAGAGUUUUUCUUGUAUAUGAUUAAUGGGUUAAGUAUGUUUGUGGAAAAGAUAAUAAGGUAAAAAAAACUUGUCUUGUUUGCCAUUGGAGUUCUGCUUCUUUGCUGUAUUAUGGACUGUGUGUCAUUAGGAUGUAAGUAUUUGGGUCUGUUUCUUUUGCAAUAAAUAUUUAAGUAUAUGCAGGUUGUGAUGCAGUGGGGAGGUGGAGUUUUGAUGGUAAAUAAGACAAUAAGGUUGAAUAUGUAAUAUGAUAAAUGGUCAGCCCUUAUAGGGACAGUACACUGUAAAAUUGUUUUAAUAUUAAUGUAUUUUCAAUGACUUGUUAUGCAAGCUGCAUAGUAUAAAAUAUAGGAGAAAUUGCAUUUGCAAGUUUAUUUGUAUAUAUAUGAAGUAGCUGGUUUUAUGCUUUCAAAACACAGUUGAUUGCAAUGGGUUGAAUUUUAGAUAAUAAGAAUAUCUCAUUGUGUUAUAUUUGUCUGUAAAAUCGGAGCUCAGUGCUUAGACAGAGCAAUGGAAAAUUGUCAUUUUAUUACUUAAAGGACCAGUUCACUCAUGGGAGUUCAUGAGCAGCAAUAACACUGGAUUAACAAGAAAAGGAGAUAAUACAUAAAAUGUAGUAGUUUGUAAAAUAUAUUAUUUUUUUUACAUUUUUUAUCUUCUUCUUUGCAGUUCAGCUAAAUGUCCCUGGAAUGCCCUGAUAAAAGGGCAGUGCUACAAUGCUCUAUUACCCCGCCCCAUGGCCAAUCAAAGUGCUUUAGUAAAUGAUAUGCUAAAGACAGUAAACCUCCAAUGUGCACACACAAUCAGCAGCUAACAAAAUAAAUUUAAAUAUCACUCCCCACACUUUACAUUUAAAGGGGCACUCAGGUUUUAUAAAAUUUUCAUGAUUCAGAUACAGCAUGUAAUAUUAAACAACUUUCCAAUUUACUUCGAUUAAAAAUAAUGUGUACAGUCUUUUAUAUUUACAUUUUUUUUUUGAGUCACCAGCUCCUACUGAGCAUGUGCAAGAACUCAGACUAUACGUAUAUGCAUUUGUGAUUGGCUGAUUGCUAUCACAUAGUACAGGGGGUGUGGAAAUAUACAUAACUUAGAAAUAUGUUAGAAAAGAAUCUACUACUCAUUUGAAAUUCAGACUAAAUGCUAUUGUAUUGUCUUGUUAUCUUGCAUUUGUUGAUUAUGCAAAUCUGCUGUGUUUACUGGUCCUGUCUCUGGGAGCAUAAUAAUUGCAUAAGACCUGGAUCAUUUUCUAUAUUUUUACUUUAGUUUGUUUUACAAUAGUUUGGUUACAUAAUCACCUUGUGCAGACCUUUCCUUGUAUAUAUAGAUAAUAUAAAAUCUGAGAGACUAGCAGUAGAAUAAAAAAAAAAAAAGUUACAUUUGUUUUCCAGCUAAUUGAGGCUUCAUGCCGAUGUGGAUUUGACUUCUGAGUUGAAUACAUACAGGUCUGUGUAAAAGUCUGUUCUAAUACAGGAGUGGAUUGCAUGAUGCAAACGUUUUCUUUUUUUCUCUUCAAAUAAGUUGCAAACUGAGAGAUCUCACUGACCUGAAUGUAUUCAAGCUCUAAAAGAAAAAACUGCUCAACACCGAGUCAGGGGGUGGAGCAUGUGCUAUGCACUGAAGGCAGGGAAAACAGAGUGGCCGUAGAAAAAAAAAUAUUUAAAGGGGUAUAGGCAAAAUGAUAUAAAAUCUGAGAUUUCAAAAAAUAUUUACAGAGAAAGAAAAUGAAGUUUAUUGUAUGCUCAGCACUAGUAUAUUUAACUAUGUCAAGCAGUUCAAUUCAAAAUAUUCUUAAUUUGGGUAAACUGUCCCUUUAACUAUCCUGCACCCCACUGUGAGUGUGGUUUCUUAUGCUGGCUUGUUUACUUAGGUUGAUUGAUAGAUGAGACUCCAGUAUCAAACUGUUACUAUAGGUGGGUAUACCACAGACUAAAUCAGCUAUUUCAAAAAGAAAAAAAAGGGCAAAGGAGCUUGUACAGGGACAUUCUUUACACAUUUAUGUGCCACACGCAGUAUACCUCUUAAUCAGAAAAAUACACAUUUUUUUAAACCAACGUCUCACUAGGUAUGAGACAUUGCUUCUUGUACCUUCUAAUAUCACUAUCAUCCACUGUACCUCUCUCAACCCAGCAACUUUGUUACCUCUGCCUGAUGAUGGUACCCCACACUAUGACUGUUUAUCUGUAUCUCUCUUUUCCUCCAAACCAAGGGAUGACCUCUCUGAUGUGCCUCUACCUAGCCUGGAUUGGACACUGUUCUGUGAUGGAAGUUUGAGGAUGGUAAAUGUUUCUGCUGUAGUCAUGACAGAUUCUGUUAUAGAGGCCGAGCCCCUCCCAUCUCACUACAGUGCCCAAGUGACUGAGCUACAUGCACUCCCACUUGCUUGUCAGCUCUCAAAGGACAGGUCAGUAAACAUUUACACUGAUAGUAAAUAUGCUUUAGGGAUUGUAUAUGCCACUGGUCAAUUAUGGAAAUUAAGGGGUUUUCUAACUUCUGCUGGUACCCAAAUUGCCAAUGCACCACAAGUUCCUGCACUCCUUGACUCAAUCCAUUUACCCACUUCCAUCUCUGUCAUGCAUUGCAAAGCACACACCCACUCACAGGAACCCAUUUCACUUGGUAAUAGUUAUGCUGAUCAAAUUGCUUAGCAUGCAGCUUCUCUGCCAUUUAUCCUUCUCUCACCCCCACUCACAAACCUCACCCUCUUGACACUACAUUGUCUUCUCUUUACACUUCUCUUCCUGAACAAACUGUUCACCUCUGGACUGUUCUUGGUCUUACCUGUGACUCUUUUGGUAUCUGGUCCACUCCAGAUGGAUGCCCUGCUCUACCUCAACCACACCUCUCUCUUAUGCUAUCCUUUCUGCAUAACCAAACACACUGAGGUACCACACAACUUGCUGAAACCCUUAACAGACAGUGGUUCCCCCCCCCCCAUCAAGCUGCAAAAUGGGUUGUAUUGAAUUGUGAGAAGUGCUCAAUUCAAUCCAAGGGGGGAACCUAAAGGCCCACCAGGCGGAUGCCCAUGGGCAUUUCAAACUUUUGAAUGUUUACAAAUUGACUUUUCUGACAUACCUCCCUGUAGGGGUUUCAAACAUUUACUUGUGAUAGUGGACCAACUUACUGGAUGGGUCGAGGCCUUUCCUACAAGAACUGUGAAAGUCCAAGAAGUUACCAAGUGAAUGCUAAAAGAACUCAUACCCAGGUUUGGCCUCCCAGAGUAAUUGAAUCUAACAGAGGAACACAUUUCACAAGUAAUAUUAUUCAGCAACUGACAUUAGCCUUAGGCUUUACUUGGCAUCUCCAUACCCCUUGGCAUCCAGAAAGAUCAGGCCAAGUGGAAAGAAAGAACUAGACCCUAAAGUUCGUAUUUAAAGGUCCUAAGGGGUUUGUUAUCCAGUCUAUUUGCAUAGCCCCACUAGUGAAUGUGGUUUGAAAAUUAUGAAGUGGGUAGCUGAGAAACGAAAGUCACCCCUUCUUGCUUGACGUUCCCAUAUAACUACCUUUGCCACAACCCCUAUUUACCCCAUUAUUCUUUUCCCCAUAAUGAUAAUUUACCUAAUGCCCAAUUGUCCACAGAGAACUAUUCUUUAGGUGAAUGGGGACUAAACUCACACGUUGUCCUACUCCAAACUAUAGCCCAUCACACUGAGGGCAAUUGUUAUAUUUGUGCUCGCAUUCCCACUCAUCAUAAGGGGGGUAUUCCUCUUAUGGGUAUUAAUGUUGAUUUGUUUACCUUUGAUUUGUCUACUUUUAUUCCUCCAGGUACACCAUUGUUCAACCUAUCAGGUAAUUUUAUCUCUUUGGGAGGCACCUCAUAUGGUACUAUCUGCAGGGAAAUUGGCCAAGGUAUGGUGCGGUUGGGUGCCUCCCUAUGUGAGUAUGUAAUCUCCAGUAAUGGCACUCAUUUCCAGCUGGUAAAUUUCUCUGGAAUGAUCCUGACUGUGAAUCAUAAUCUCACUGCAUUUUUUUGUUUCCUCCAGGGCCCCAAUUGUACUUUUGUUUCCCCAUCCCUUGUACAAUCUUUCCUCAGCAGACCACUCCCUGGGUUGUAUUGGAUAUGUGGACAGACAGCGGUGUCAGUCCUCCCUGGAUGCACUACGUCCCUAGGAUCGUCUAGAACUUUCCUACAUUGGGAAACUGGCCACGGAGAGACCAUGGACCAUCAUCUACCUUGAUGGCCACCCCGGUCGUAGCCUGUAUACCCAUAACCCACUCCUUUUUCCCUCCCUGGUGGUUUCUAUUUCUUCAUUGUCUUUCUGUAUUGUUUUAUUUUGCUUUCAUAUUGCAUUACCUUAUACUUACACUCUCUAUAUUUCCUUCACAGGUGCAGAAUUCCUUCACCUCCCAAACAUGCCAUGAUACUGCCUGACAACCCACUAUUCGCCAUCAACUCUGCAAGAAUGAUGGGGAUUGUUAAUUGUUGUUAAUAAAUCUAGGAGGGGAUGUUUCUGCACUAUGUCAUGCCACACACAUAUGUCAUGCCACACACACAUAUACAGCAUAGGAAUGUUUAGGUAGUUGUCUACUCCACCCGAUGGUGACUAGCGUCCGGUAAUAGCGGAAUUGCCUACUACCUAAUAACUUCACUCCUACUUUGUUUUUGCUUACCCUCUUGUAAUCCUGUGAACCAUCUUGGACGCGAGCACCCAUGUACUAAUAGCAUUGUGAUUGUCAAACCGCCAUGAGUCGCAUUUACUUUUUGUGAUCGCGGCACUUUGACGUUUGCGAUCAAAGGGGGGAAUGUUAUGAGCUGCUUAUUAUAUUUUCAUUAUUUUAUAUGUUUAACCAAACUUUUCCUUUUCUUUUACUGAACUCUUCUCUGAAACUGCAGAUAUAUUACUUCUGUAUUUUCCAAUAAGUGAUGUAUCUUUAACAACUUACUUUUAGCCUAAUAAGUAUGUAUCAGUACAUCUUAAAGUUAUGGCUUCUCCCAUACAAAGUUUUCUAAAUAUCUGAAACUCAAGGUAAAAUCCAAGGCUUCUCUGUACAGUAUCAGCUUCUCAAUCCAAUUAGCCAGCUAGCCUCUGGUCACAUUCCAAGAAAACAUAUCUCAUAAAUUUUAACAUAGAGGACCUGUUUUUUUUCCCCUUUCCUAGUAACCACUAAUCACGUGAGAUUUAUUGGCCAAUCAUUAUCAGCCAAUUAGCUCUCUGCUUUGUAAGGAACUGUAAUAGUAUAAAAAUGCAUGUAUAUGAAAAUGUGUUAGUCUUGCGUUACUGUUUUUUGUGCUGGGACACUGUUGCAACAGUGUAAUAAAGAUUACCUCUCCUGAGGUGAGCCCUUGUUUGAUAAA